AAUGUCGUAACAAGGGUUUCCGUAGGUGAACCUGCGGAAGGAUCAUUUACAAAGUAAAUGCUGGAUAGGAAGUGGGGUCUUGAUCUGUAAGUGGUAGAGCGAACAGUCCGGCUGCCUUCCCGAAACUGUCUUACAUGUCCCCCAAUCAGCCUGAAGGCCGAAUUGACAACCCAUUGAUUAUCUACACUUGCUGCCUUUCGGGGAUGGCUCAAGUGCCCCAGAGGACCCAACUCUCUUGCAAUUUCAGUGACGUCGAGCACUAUAUAAAUUUUGAAAAGC
rnacentral:misc_RNA from 1 species